CCUACGGGAGGCAGCAGUGAGGAAUAUUGGUCAAUGGACGAGAGUCUGAACCAGCCAAGUAGCGUGAAGGAUGACUGCCCUAUGGGUUGUACACUUCUUUUAUAUGGGAAUAAAAUGUUCCACGUGUGGGUUUUUGUAUGUACCAUAUGAAUAAGGAUCGGCUAACUCCGUGCCAGCAGCCGCGGUAAUACGGAGGAUCCGAGCGUUAUCCGGAUUUAUUGGGUUUAAAGGGUGCGUAGGUGGAUUGUUAAGUCAGUUGUGAAAGUUUGCGGCUCAACCUUAAAAUUGCAGUUGAAACUGGCAGUCUUGAGUACAGUAGAGGUGGGCGGAAUGUGUGGUGUAGCGGUGAAAUGCUUAGAUAUCACGAAGAACACCGAUUGCGAAGGCAGUUCACUGGACUGCAACUGACACUGAGGCUCGAAAGUGUGGGUAUCAAACAGGAUUAGAUACCCGAGUAGUC
rnacentral:rRNA from 1 species